rnacentral:rRNA from 1 species
GACGAAUGCUGGCGGCGUGCCUAAUACAUGCAAGUCGAACGCAUUUUCUUUCACCGUAGCUUGCUACACCGAAAGAAAAUGAGUGGCGAACGGGUGAGUAACACGUGGUUAACUUGCCCAUCAGCGGGGGAUAACACUUGGAAACAGGUGCUAAUACCGCAUAAUUCCAUUUACUGCAUGGUAGAUGGAUGAAAGGCGCUUUUGCGUCACUUAUGGAUGGACCCGCGGUGCAUUAGCUAGUUGGUGGGGUAACGGCCUACCAAGGCUGCGAUGCAUAGCCGACAGGAGAGGGUGAUCGGCCGCACUGGGACUGAGACACGGCCCAGACUCCUACGGGAGGCAGCAGGAGGGAAUCGUCGGCAAUGGGCGCAAGUCUGACCGAGCAACGCCGCGUGAGUGAAGAAGGGUGUCGGAUCGUAAAACUCUGUUGUUAGAAAAGAACAAGGAUGAGAGUGGAAAGUUCAUCCCUUGACGGUAUCUAACCAGAAAGCCACGGCUAACUACGUG